UGGAAACGGCAAGUUUGCGCCCGAUGCCAUUAGGUUGAGGGCACGUCUGCCUGGGUGUCACAUAUCGAAGCCCUCUGCCAAUUUUCCUUUGACUAUUGUGCAGGGUGGAUGUUGGCCUCCCGUGAGCUCUUUCGUCUCAUGGUUGGUUGAAAAUUGAGACCUUGGUAGGGUGUGCCAUGAUAGAUGGUGGUUGUGUGACCCACGAGACCAAUCAUGCGCUUCUCUAUUGAAUUUGGCCUCUUUUACCCAUAUGCGUUUUCUAAACGCUCGUGAUGAGACCUCAGGUCAGGCGGGGCUACCCGCUGAAUUUAAGCAUAUCAAUAAGCGGAGGAAAAGAAACUAACAAGGAUUCCCUUAGUAACGGCGAGCGAACCGGGAAAAGCCCACCAUGAGAAUCGGUCGCCCUCGGCGUUCGAAUUGUAUCGAAAAAAACCCCAAAAUUUUUGG
rnacentral:rRNA from 1 species